GUUCUCUUUCCGCAGCGCUUUCUUAAACAAAUUCUUGGAGAGGGCGAGAGUGGUGACUAAAGAGAGGAGCCUUUCCUCCCCUUUUGCCUGCACUCCGGCGCGCGGAGAGAGGGAGGUAGGGAGAGAGACAGAAACACAGAGCUAGAGAAAUUGACAGAGAAACAUUCUCGAAGGCAAAGAGUUGAAAGGUGAAUCUACUAAGAAAAGAAUAACAGAGUGCAAUUAGCCAUGGAACUACAUCUCCAUCUGCCUCCUUUAAAGGAUGAGUCCUUUAAAGAGCCUUUGGGAGGAAUUGCGCCGUGAGAAGAGCCCUCAUGAAUGGGAUUAGUUCCCUUAUAAGAAGAGACACCAAGGAAAUGAUCUUUCUCUGCCCUCUGCUAUGUGAAGACAAGGUCAUCUGCAGUUUUUUGUUGUUGUUGAUGAUCUUCCUGUCAUAGACAAUGCUGUAACAAACAGACUAGAGAUAAUAAGCUCACUUUACCUCAGGACCUUUGCAGCAGCUCUACCCUGUGCUUAGAUUGAUCUGUCACGAAACUUAAAGUCCGGCUGAUUCUCAUUCUUCAGAUU
rnacentral:antisense_RNA from 1 species